GCGGGCGCUGGCGCCCUGCGCCAUCCUUGCGUAGCUGCCCGCGUGCAGGCCCCUGAUCCUUGCCAGGCGGGUCCGCAGCUCCACGAGGGUAAGUGGAUUGUGCGAGAUGGAGUGGCUGGCGGUCGCCCGGGGGGAGGACGGGGGUGAUGAUGACCCCAGGUGACUCUGAGUGUCUCGUUGACGCCAUCACCGCAGCGCGCUGACCACCCCUCUUCCCCUGCGCUGGGAUCCCUAGUAUCUGGUGCUUGGGGAGAAGUUGAUGGCCAGGAACCCUUAUUACUCAUUUAUUCUUUUGUUUCAUUUCUUGUGUAGUGGGUUAAGACAUCCAUGAAGUGUUAUCGUUGAAUAAAGCAUGAGAGCUCUGGAGGCCCAGCCAGGGCCAAUGCCCCUUCACAGAGAUUCUGCACUAACCUGGUCACUGGGCUAAGAUUUGGAAUUGACUCUCUUGGAGAAGUGCUGUCAAGAUGGCGGGGAUGCCUAGGUAAUGGUUCCUGCCACUUCAUCUACAAGCCGUGACAAGAAGUAAAGAGCCAUGCUCCUUCUCCCUGGCUGCUAUGGAUUUUGCUGCCACAAAGGAUGUCCUCUCUCUGAUGUUGGGCAGAUGCUAGGAGCUUACAUCUUUCCUGCAGUAACUUGAUGAACAUGAGCAACUGUCAACUUAUUGAGGAAGAAAACUGCCUAGAAAUUUCGGGGCACUUACAUAUCAAUUAGGUUUUACUUCUUUAUUUUGUCUUAAACAAGUACUUUGUUUUAUCAAAAGGAUUCCAGUAAAAUACUUUCAAGCAAA